CUUAAUGUUUAUUACUUUUAUUUCUUUUAAAAAUAAAAAUAAAAAAACAAGAUACAUUUGUAUAUAGGCAUGACUUGCUCAAUGGAAAAAAGAAGAAUGGAUGUGAAUGAAAUCUAUAAAAUAAGGUACAUUUAUUGCACGACUUGACACAUUCAUUAAGUUGGUACCGAUCAGUGCCCUCUUGACUUCCUUAUACAAGCUCAGAGUGGUGAAACUACUUGUGCCUAAAAUCUAAUAUGGAAAAAUCAGCAUUAAUGAAAAAACCUUAACUAAUGAUAUUUUUUAAGAGCUAAAUGUCUUAAUCCUUUGAACAUAGCGAAAAACCUUUUGGAGCUCUAUUUAUGAUCAUAGAUAGGGGAAUUACAUGGAUAAAAGAUUCAUGAGGAGACCGUUCAAGAUUCAUGAAAAAUUAAAGUUGAGGAGUUCCUACAGAAAAUAGGACAUCUCAAUAAGAAAGGGAGGAAUAGACAAGAUCAUAUGGAGGGUGUCGAGAAUAAUUAUUCCAAUGAGAUGAUAGUAUCAUACUACAUGGGCUAUUGGAAUCGAGUAUGGUUCUUUUAGGUUAUACUGAUGGUUGUUUCUCAAUUCCAUCUCUACUACAAAAUCGGACGUGAGAGUUCCUUCUUAUCGAUCUCCUCGCAAAUAUUCAAAAAGUUUUAAUUUGAAUUAAGAUAUAAUAGUAAAUCCUAAAAAAAGUACUUAUUAAGUAAUACGUUGAUGUGGGACUCUUUGAGAUUCAUUCAAUCUCCAAUAGCUUUUUUUCCUUGUUAAUAAUGCAGGAUGCUAUGUAAACGGUUGUUAACAUAAGGAGGCAACAAAUCAUUACAAGUUGGUGUUAUAGUGAAGAUGACCUAUUGCUUUGUAGCCUCAUAUCACAAUUAUGAUACAUUUGUAUGGGGAUGGACAAAUUAAGAUUAUCUCCAAACUUGGUUCACUUACCAUGUUUGGUUUAGAAAAGAAAAUUUCCAGCCAUUUUAGGUAAAGAUCAUCAUGUUAUGAAAUUGAACUUUUUAUAAACCUUUGAAAAUAAAAGAGCAUUUAUGACAUUCUUGAUACCAAUCUUGUAAAUGGAUGAUCCUAUCCUAAAUAAAGUGAACAGUUUAAACAAACUAAAUCAUCUUUGUUUGGGCGUAGUUAAGAAACUUUAUGAGCCUGUUUGGAUUGGCUUAUUUAAGGUGCUUUUAAGCCAGUAAAAAAGUGUUUUAAACACUUGUUCUUUAGCCAAAAGUCAUAGAAUUCCCUUAACUUAUAAACCACAAGCCCAUCCAGGCUCUAAGGCACCUUAUUGGACUUGUAUGACUACUUUUCAAUCAGAACCAAAUCAGUACGCAACAUUAAGAUGGCUCUGCUAUUAAGUUGAGAAAAGAGCUUUGGACCUAAUCCAACUCUCUAAUGUGAUUGCUUUGCCAGA